rnacentral:rRNA from 1 species
CUCAAAGAUUAAGCCAUGCAAGUGGUUAUAUUAACCCGACAGUUUAAAUAAGUGUUAUAUUGCUAUACUAAUACGCUUUAAUACAAUACAAAGAAGAAUCGAUUUGAUUUUUAGUAAAAUAAUUAUCAAUAUCAGCUUUGUGAUUACCUGAAAAUAUUAUCAGUAUCACUUACGCAACUGCAGACAGCUGCUUAAUACAGUCACACUUGUCUUGACUUGGCAUUUACAAUAAUGCACUGGUUGUUGGAUUGAGUAUUCACGUAUUCUUUCUCUCGCCAUGCAUUAUUAUUAUACAAAAUAUUAUAUAUUAAUUAAAUAUGUAUAUUUUUCAGAUUUAUACGAUUUCUCUGUAACAUUAUUUUAAAUUUUUAUUGUUACACCAACCGUGUCCACAAUGUUUAUUUGGAUAACUCAGGGAAAGUUUGGCUAAUACGUACGAGAUUUUAUUUCAUAAGAACUCAAAUUAUAUUGUACCCGAUCGAAUCCGAUUUAUGUACUUAAUUAAUAAACCGCGCUUGCCAGGGCAGGUUAACGCCUGUUCUGAGUGGUCAACACGCGCACACAUACACACACACACACAUACGCGACACAUAUUAUUGAACACUAAAGCGCAGUGAGCACCACAAAUGUUCACUAUAAACUUUCUCAGCUCUUAUUGGUAAAUUUUGAUUUGUCAGUCUUCGGACGGGCAUUUCUGUCAAAAAUUUAAACGCAGCAUGAAAGACAAUAAGCACGCUAGUGUAAUUUGCUUCGGUAAAUUGCACAACUUAAAGCUGAGCAGACUUUGCGAAGAUUACUUUGCGAAGCAUGUCAUACAAGCAUCUACAGCAUCAAGUCACAGGGUUGGCAAGUGUAUUUUUGAACCUUCAAAGCAGUCACGCAUACGGAAGAGUAGUUUCUGAUCCCAUAGAAGGAGCACCGUACAUUGAGAGACCGCUCUUAGUUCUAAGGAACGCAGCAGGCGCGUAAAUUGCCCAAUGUUAGUACACUACAAUACUAAGCAUUAACAAUUUACAAUGAAAAACAAUUAUUAUGUAUUAUUAUUAAUUUCACUAUUAAUAUUAAUAUGUAUUUUUGUUUGUAUUUUUAAAUAGCAAAUUAUAUAACACCUUUGCCAAACAUGUCAAAUCAUAUCAUUUAUACCAUUAAAUAUAUUAUAUAUUUUUAAUAUUUUAAAAAUAUUAUCCUUGUUCAUUUUGUUAUUCAGUAUUCUUUUACUGAGGCAGUGACAAGCUGUAACGGUUGAGUAUUUAAAUGACAAGCGCCUGGCAUUGCCGCCUGUGUAUUCAGGCUUGGCAGUUCGCCGGCGCUUUGUAUGCUCAAUUGGAAUGCGGUGAGUUUAAGCAACUCAGAACCUUUGAAUCGUGUUUGUGAAAAAUCUUACACUUUUCUUGUAUCUGAAUUUUCAAGUGGAGGGCAAGUCUGGUGCCAGCAGCCGCGGUAAUACCAGCUCCAUUAGCCUAUACAAUCAUUGUUGCGGUUAAGAGGCUCGUAGUUGGAUUGAACGCUAAUAUUAAAAAAAUGUGAAUAAAACAAAACAAUAUUCAAAUUUUAAUUAGCUUACGUUACUUUAUUUUUAUGUGUCGUACUUUGUUAGGUAAUUACUUUCAUUAGGUGACUUCGCUUUUGUGAGGUUAAUUUAGGUUGGUAUUUACUUCACUUUGCUCACACACUAAUUUUUCGUGACGUUCGACUAAUUUUUAUGCUUUAGAUUAUAUUUCUUUAUAUUCGUUUGUUGUGACACGCGAACAAAACACACACACACACACUACGUUUGCUGUUUUUUAUUUACACACACUUUCAACACUGUGAACAAAUCAGAGUGUACCAAACAUGUCUUUUCAAAAUGUGCAUUGAAUGUCUUAUCAUGGAAUGUUGCACAAAACAUCUAAAAAAUUUACUUUUUAUCUUUUUACACACACACACAUAUAUAUGUUAUGAUAUGAUACAGGUACAAUAAACUUGGAUUGAAUCCACAGUAAAAAUAAUACAAUACAACAAAUACUAAUAAAAAGUUAAUUUUUUACGGUUAAAAAUGUCGAUGGGGAUAGUUGGAGUCAAGAGUACUGCUGGGCGAGAGGUGAAAUUCUUUGACCCUAGCAAGACUACCAAAAGCGAAAGCACUUGGCUAGGCUACACUCUUUGUGAAUUUAAAAAAUAACAAUAUAAUUAUUAUUAAACGUUCACAUACACACACACACAAAACAAAAUGAGAACGCGAUAAAAAUAUUAUUAUAUAUGUUUUUAAAACACUUUACAAUGAAGAACGAAGGUUGGGGGAUCAAAGAGGAUCAGAUACCCUCGUCGUCCCAUUAAUUACAUCAANCGAUGGGCUCUCAAUUGCAUAUACUAUUUUAGAUAGUAAUGCCCUCAACCUACAAAAGAUUUGGCUCGAGCUCGUGUUUCGGCACGCUCGCCUAUUUUACGUACGGUUUCGAUGGACGUUUCUUUUAAAAAUUCUUUGCGUGUAAGCAUUUUAAUAUUCUUAUGAAAUAUUUUGAAUAUAUGCGUGCACAUGAUUUUCGGAGCUUUGCGCUCAUAUUUAUUCUGGUGAGAUGUAAGCACUAUGUGGUCUGCCCGGCAGCAGUUCAGUGGGCUGAAGUUGUUUUAUUAUAGCUUUAGUCUCUGGAUUAUCAAUGUUGUUUGUGUGCAGAUUGCAAUAAUUGGUGUGAAGCACGUUUUAGGCACGCGCUUACUGCAGAAAUGUCUGAGACAUUCCCCUCCGGGGGUAGUAUGCACGCAAGUGUGAAACUUGAAGGAAUUGACGGAAGGGCACCACAAGAACGCGUGGAGCAUGUGGCUUAAUUUGACUCAACGCGGGAAAUCUUACCGGGUCCGGACACACUGAGGAUUGACAGGCAAAAUUAUUUAUAUGCCUAAUUUUUUUUAGGUAUUUUAUAUGCAAAUAUGCUAGUCCUUUCAUGAUUAUGUGAUAGGUGGUGCAUGGCCGUUCUUAGUUCGUGGAGUGAUCUGUCUGCUUAAUUGCGUUUCACCAAGGGCUUAUAAAAAACGUACGUUGCGCCGUUUCGAUCCCGCUUUUUAUUAAGUGUGUGGUCUUAGCGUUUUGCGCGUACAAAUAGGCCCUGAAAGCAACGAACGUGACCGCAACCUCUUGUUGCCUUUAUUCCAAAUAGCAUUGUUUGGCGAGGGAUUUAUUCAGCGCUUUACUUUGCUAAAAAAGAGGCUUAAAAACUAGAGGGACCGCUGUAUCUUCUUUAAACCAGAGGAAGGUUGCGGCAAUAACAGGUCUGUGAUGCCCUUAGAUGUUCCGGGCUGCACACGUGCUACAAUGAUUAUUGCAGUGAGCAUCUCAAAUACACACGGCUUGCGCAGACGGUUUAUUCGUUUUUUAUUAAGCGUUUAAUCUCGUUUUUGCGCGCCGUAAAGCCUGCUUCGAAAGUAAGUAGGUAAUCAAUUAGAAGUAAUGAUUUCCCAGCUUUUUAAAGUAUAGCACGCUUAUAUGCGGCGUUUGUACCCUUGUUCUGGCCUCGAGUCGGUUCAUGCGUGUUACUUAACGUUAAUUUUUUCUUAAAAUUAUUCGCAUGUGCUUUUGUCAAUUCAAGGUGGGGACAGACCAUUGUUAAUUGUUGGUCUCGGUUCAACUAGGAAUGCCUUGUACAGGUCUUUGGUUCAACAAACCACCUGGAAUACGUCCCUGCCCUUUGUACACACCGCCCGUCGCUCUUACCGAUGGACUUCUCUGUGAGUUUGAGGGACUGGGUUAAUUUGUUUUUNCUUCGGGAAAAAUGAAGACACCUAUGGAAACUUAAACGAACAGUGUGGUCUAAAGGAAAGAGAAGUCGUAACAAGGCAUCGGUAGGUGAACCU